rnacentral:misc_RNA from 1 species
GCAAACUUGGUCAUUUAGAGGAAGUAAAAGUCGUAACAAGGUUUCCGUAGGUGAACCUGCGGAAGGAUCAUUACCGAGUUAGGGUUCCCUCUUUGGAGCUCGACCUCCCAACCCUGUGUCUAUCAUACCUUGUUGCUUCGGCGGACCGGUUGACCAACUGGUCUCGACCGCCGGGGUGGCCCAGCCGCCUUGGAGAGCGUCCGCCGACGGCCUACCACAAAACUCUUGUCCCUAAACCUGUCGUCUGAAUUGUGAAUUGAUAAAUAUAAACCAAAACUUUCAACAACGGAUCUCUUGGUUCUGGCAUCGAUGAAGAACGCAGC